UACGUAGGUGGCAAGCGUUGUCCGGAAUUAUUGGGCGUAAAGCGCGCGCAGGCGGUCCUUUAAGUCUGAUGUGAAAGCCCACGGCUCAACCGUGGAGGGUCAUUGGAAACUGGGGGACUUGAGUGCAGGAGAGAAGAGUGGAAUUCCACGUGUAGCGGUGAAAUGCGUAGAGAUGUGGAGGAACACCAGUGGCGAAGGCGACUCUUUGGCCUGUAACUGACGCUGAGGCACGAAAGCGUGGGUAGCAAACAGG
rnacentral:rRNA from 1 species